rnacentral:rRNA from 1 species
AGUGAACGCUGGCGGUAGGCCUAACACAUGCGAGUCGAACGGCAGCACAGUAAGAGCUUGCUCUUACGGGUGGCGAGUGGCGGACGGGUGAGGAAUACAUCGGAAUCUACUUUUUCGUGGGGGAUAACGUAGGGAAACUUACGCUAAUACCGCAUACGACCUACGGGUGAAAGCAGGGGAUCUUCGGACCUUGCGCGAUUGAAUGAGCCGAUGUCGGAUUAGCUAGUUGGCGGGGUAAAGGCCCACCAAGGCGACGAUCCGUAGCUGGUCUGAGAGGAUGAUCAGCCACACUGGAACUGAGACACGGUCCAGACUCCUACGGGAGGCAGCAGUGGGGAAUAUUGGACAAUGGGCACAAGCCUGAUCCAGCCAUACCGCGUGGGUGAAGAAGGCCUUCGGGUUGUAAAGCCCUUUUGUUGGGAAAGAAAAGCAGCAGGUUAAUACCCCGCUGUUCUGACGGUACCCAAAGAAUAAGCACCGGCUAACUUCGUG